rnacentral:rRNA from 1 species
CUUGGGGGGGCGGGGCUAAUACAUGCAAGUAGAACGCUGAAGAGAGGAGCUUGCUCUUCUUGGAUGAGUUGCGAACGGGUGAGUAACGCGUAGGUAACCUGCCUUGUAGCGGGGGAUAACUAUUGGAAACGAUAGCUAAUACCGCAUAACAAUGGAUGACACAUGUCAUUUAUUUGAAAGGGGCAAUUGCUCCACUACAAGAUGGACCUGCGUUGUAUUAGCUAGUAGGUGAGGUAACGGCUCACCUAGGCGACGAUACAUAGCCGACCUGAGAGGGUGAUCGGCCACACUGGGACUGAGACACGGCCCAGACUCCUACGGGAGGCAGCAGUAGGGAAUCUUCGGCAAUGGGGGCAACCCUGACCGAGCAACGCCGCGUGAGUGAAGAAGGUUUUCGGAUCGUAAAGCUCUGUUGUAAGUCAAGAACGAGUGUGAGAGUGGAAAGUUCACACUGUGACGGUAGCUUACCAGAAAGGGACGGCUAACUACGUGCCAGCAGCCGCGGUAAUACGUAGGUCCCGAGCGUUGUCCGGAUUUAUUGGGCGUAAAGCGAGCGCAGGCGGUUUGAUAAGUCUGAAGUUAAAGGCUGUGGCUCAACCAUAGUUCGCUUUGGAAACUGUCAAACUUGAGUGCAGAAGGGGAGAGUGGAAUUCCAUGUGUAGCGGUGAAAUGCGUAGAUAUAUGGAGGAACACCGGUGGCGAAAGCGGCUCUCUGGUCUGUAACUGACGCUGAGGCUCGAAAGCGUGGGGAGCGAACAGGAUUAGAUACCCUGGUAGUCCACGCCGUAAACGAUGAGUGCUAGGUGUUGGAUCCUUUCCGGGAUUCAGUGCCGCAGCUAACGCAUUAAGCACUCCGCCUGGGGAGUACGACCGCAAGGUUGAAACUCAAAGGAAUUGACGGGGGCCCGCACAAGCGGUGGAGCAUGUGGUUUAAUUCGAAGCAACGCGAAGAACCUUACCAGGUCUUGACAUCCCGAUGCUAUUUCUAGAGAUAGAAAGUUACUUCGGUACAUCGGUGACAGGUGGUGCAUGGUUGUCGUCAGCUCGUGUCGUGAGAUGUUGGGUUAAGUCCCGCAACGAGCGCAACCCCUAUUGUUAGUUGCCAUCAUUCAGUUGGGCACUCUAGCGAGACUGCCGGUAAUAAACCGGAGGAAGGUGGGGAUGACGUCAAAUCAUCAUGCCCCUUAUGACCUGGGCUACACACGUGCUACAAUGGUUGGUACAACGAGUUGCGAGUCGGUGACGGCAAGCUAAUCUCUUAAAGCCAAUCUCAGUUCGGAUUGUAGGCUGCAACUCGCCUACAUGAAGUCGGAAUCGCUAGUAAUCGCGGAUCAGCACGCCGCGGUGAAUACGUUCCCGGGCCUUGUACACACCGCCCGUCACACCACGAGAGUUUGUAACACCCGAAGUCGGUGAGGUAACCUUUUGGAGCCAGCCGCUAAGGUGGAUAGGGAGG